AGCAGCCGCGGUAAUUCCAGCUCCAAUAGCGUAUAUUAAAGUUGUUGCAGUUAAAAAGCUCGUAGUUGAAUUUCGGGAUCUGUCUAUCGGUCGGGCUUUAUUGUCCGCACUGAUUUGAUGGAUUCUUACCUUCUGAAUAACCAUCAUGCCAUUAAUUUGGUGCGUUGGGGAAGCAGAGCUAUUACCUUGAAAAAUUAGAGUGCUUAAAGCAGGCUAGCGCUUGAAUAGAUUAGCAUGGAAUAAUAAAAUAGGACGGCAUGGUUCUAUUUUGUUGGUUUCUAGGAUCACCGUAAUGAUUAAUAGGGAUAGUUGGGGGCAUUAGUAUUCAAUUGUCAGAGGUGAAAUUCUUGGAUUUAUUGAAGACUAACUACUGCGAAAGCAUUUGCCAAGGAUGUUUUCAUUAAUCAAGACGAAAGUUAGGGGAUCGAAGACGAUCAGAUACCGUCGUAG
rnacentral:rRNA from 1 species